GAUGAACGCUAGCGAUAGGCUUAACACAUGCAAGUCGAGGGACCGGCGCACGGGUGCGUAACGCGUAUGCAACUUGCCUCCCAGAGGGGGAUAACCCGUCGAAAGACGGAAUAAUACAGCGUACUGUGAGAUAGGCAUGGGUCCCAUUAGCUAGUUGGUGAGGUAACGGCUAACCAAGGCAACGAUGGGUAGGGGAACUGAGAGGUUGAAACCCCACACUGGUACUGAGACACGGACCAGACUCCUACGGGAGGCAGCAGUGAGGAAUAUUGGUCAAUGGGCGAGAGCCUGAACCAGCCAAGUCGCGUGAAGGAUGACUGUCUAUGGAUGGUAAACUGCUUUUGUAGGGGAAUAUGUACCCUACGAAGAAGCAUCGGCUAACUCCGUGCCAGCAGCCGCGGUAAUUC
rnacentral:rRNA from 1 species